GGAAGAUGCCUUUAAUAACAAUUUCUAAAUGCUUAAAAGGUGAGGAAAUUCUACAUGGUGUCUAUUGAGGAAUGGGACCCAGCCUGGCUCCCUGAGGAGUCCAUCGUGAGGCAGAUCUGGAGAAGUUAUUCAUAGAGUCAUGAAGUUAUGUUUACAAAGAAUGAAAAGGGGUCUUUGGGGUGGAGUCUCAUCAUUGACUGUGGCCAGACAGUCCCCCCUCAGAAGUACCACCACUGCUGGGUCCCCACCCACGGGGCAACGGAGCAGAAACAACAAUCUUCUUCCUGGGCAACACAGAUAUGCACAAAGGGUGCCAACCCUUGGGGUUCCUGUUCACCCCAACACCACGCCUGGGCAACCAGCCGAUGAGACGCCCCAGAAAAUAUGCGCUUUUAUAAAGGAUUUAAUUGGCCUGUCUCAUGAUUUCUGCUCCUGAGUCUGCCAGUAG